rnacentral:rRNA from 1 species
CCUACGGGAGGCAGCAGUGGGGAAUUUUGGACAAUGGGCGAAAGCCUGAUCCAGCAAUGCCGCGUGAGUGAAGAAGGCCUUCGGGUUGUAAAGCUCUUUUGUCAGGGAAGAAACGGUGAGAGCUAAUAUCUCUUGCUAAUGACGGUACCUGAAGAAUAAGCACCGGCUAACUACGUGCCAGCAGCCGCGGUAAUACGUAGGGUGCAAGCGUUAAUCGGAAUUACUGGGCGUAAAGCGUGCGCAGGCGGUUUUGUAAGUCUGAUGUGAAAUCCCCGGGCUCAACCUGGGAAUUGCAUUGGAGACUGCAAGGCUAGAAUCUGGCAGAGGGGGGUAGAAUUCCACGUGUAGCAGUGAAAUGCGUAGAUAUGUGGAGGAACACCGAUGGCGAAGGCAGCCCCCUGGGUCAAGAUUGACGCUCAUGCACGAAAGCGUGGGGAGCAAACAGGAUUAGAUACCCUGGUAGUCCACGCCCUAAACGAUGUCUACUAGUUGUCGGGUCUUAAUUGACUUGGUAACGCAGCUAACGCGUGAAGUGACCGCCUGGGGAGUUACGGUUGCAAGNUUAAAACCGUUNAAAUUGAAUUGAGG